CCUACGGGUGGCAGCAGUGAGGAAUAUUGGUCAAUGGGCGAGAGCCUGAACCAGCCAAGUCGCGUGAAGGAUGAAGGAUCUAUGGUUUGUAAACUUCUUUUAUCUGGGAAUAAAGUGAGGAACGUGUUCCUUUUUGUAUGUACCAUAUGAAUAAGCAUCGGCUAACUCCGUGCCAGCAGCCGCAGUAAUACGGAGGAUGCGAGCGUUAUCCGGAUUUAUUGGGUUUAAAGGGUGCGUAGGUGGUUAAUUAAGUCAGCGGUGAAAGUUUGUGGCUCAACCAUAAAAUUGCCGUUGAAACUGGUUGACUUGAGUAUUUUGAGGUAGGCGGAAUGCGUGGUGUAGCGGUGAAAUGCAUAGAUAUCACGCAGAACUCCGAUUGCGAAGGCAGCUUACUAAACUAUAACUGACGCUGAGGAGCGAAAGCGUGGGUAGCAAACAGGAUUAGAUACCCCUGUAGUC
rnacentral:rRNA from 1 species